UUACUACUGACUUGCUGCCGGCAUAGUUGAUUUCCGCAAAAGCUGAGUCACUUUUCAAAUACCUAGAUAAUUAAAUACUAAAUUGAAGUCUGUCGGAAGAUGCAGAUCUUGGUAAAUUUGAAGAAUAAGAAGCGGAUGGAAGGGUAAACAAAGAAACUUUAUACAACCCUUUUCCGCGUCUUACAUUACAUGAGGAAACUUCUGUAAAAAAAUAGGAAGCUUUUAAGCUUUCACCGUUGAAGCUGUGCGUGGUCACCAAUCAGUCAGUCAGUAAGUCAGUCGGUAAUCAGACUGGACAAGUAGUUGAAUAUGCAUGGGUGUACAAAGCAUCCAUUGUGAAUAUCGUGCGCUUGGGUCUUAAGUUGAAGCAUUAUUCCGGCAACGAAGUCGAGAGAUAGCCGAGUCAAUUGACAUUCAACGAACAAAAUGCUUAUCCACUUCAAAGCAACAAUAGGAAGCAAGACACGCAGAGUCAGUCUCUGUGCAGACAUCUCUUGUGGGCAAACAAAUUGCUGUCAACGACGAAGCCCAUAAAAGUAACGCAAAUAAACAAUUUAACUUGAAUGUAAAACACGAAAACAGCUGUCCAUCAGACUGGCUGAGGUGUGUGUGUGUGUGCGUGGGUGUGAGUGUGGAUGUGGAUAUGGAGUGUGACUGUGUCUCGCUUAGAGGCUUAAUCGAUUUCCAACGUGGACAAUUAGUUUGCAGCCAAAUUGCCCGCAUCGCUGAAUGGGAAUCGGGAAAUGGGUUAACCACAGAGGACAGCAGCGCCAAUGCGAGCCACAGCCAUAACAAUGGCAAGAGCGGCCGAAAUUGGGUCAACUGGCGUCUGGAACCGGGAGCGAGACUGGGAAUCGGACUGGGACUGGGACUGGGACUGAGAUUGGUCUGGGUCUGGAAAGUAUAAACUGGGACUCUUUUGGUAGCCGUUAAGUAAAUCAAAAACAUUUGCCAACUGCCAGCGGCAUGUGGCUGCCUGAUGCUUCUGGGGGAGAGGGCCAAGGCGACAAUUAUGCCCGCUAUUUAUCACCCAGACAGCCAAGUGGCAAAUAAAAAAAGAAAAGGAGGCAAGGGACAAGCGUCUGACAGUAAAAUAAAAAUAUUAAUAAUGACCCGGCUCGCCCCCUUGGCACACAUAAAAAAUGAAGAUCAUUGACAGGCGGAUAUCUUUUUGUCUGACUUCCGCAGGCCUGCCCUUUCCCCUUCUGAGCAGCUGUGACAACAAGGCGUAUGAGUGAUAUGCGCUGUAAUACGCAGCAGAGACAGCAGAGCAUCAACAACAACAUUCGUGAAAGGGCAGU